rnacentral:rRNA from 1 species
UGAGGAAUAUUGGGCAAUGCCCGCAAGGGUGACCCAGCAACGCCGCGUGGAGGAUGAAUGUCGUAAGAUUGUAAACUCCUGUUAGAGGGGAAGAAUAGUACCGGUUGGACCGGUAUAUGACUGUACCCUCAGAGAAAGCCCCGGCUAACUACGUGCCAGCAGCCGCGGUCAUACGUAGGGGGCAAGCGUUGUCCGGAUUUACUGGGUGUAAAGGGCGCGCAGGCGGGAUAAAAAGUCAGUGGUGAAAUCCUACAGCUUAACUGUAGAACUGCCUUUGAUACUUUUAUUCUUGAGUUCGGGAGAGAGAGACGGAAUUCCAGGUGUAGUGGUGAAAUACGUAGAUAUCUGGAAGAACACCAGUUGCGAAGGCGGUCUCUUGGUCCGACACUGACGCUGAGGCGCGAAAGCGUGGGGAGCAAACA